rnacentral:sRNA from 1 species
UCGAAGAUUCUCAAGGGGGGAAACGCGUCUAUUCAAGCAUCAUUGUCGCGCCCUCAUUUGGAAACCACAGAAUGUGCAAUCAUAUCAUUCCUGCUGCUGGAGACAAAUGGGAGAAGCCAAUGUUCAUUAUUUUCCAGACGGAGAGCCGAUGGUAGGCUUGAUGGUCGGCGAAACCACUGUCCUCCCUGCCAGGAGGCUAAGCAGAGUCCUAUACGGAAGGAAGGCAAGGGAGUUAAAUAGACCAUUGUCCUAAUUUGUAUUGUGUCUGUUUGAGGGAAAGGAAAAUAGGGCUUCAUUAUUUAUUCCCCCGGCUCCUCCCCUGCUUUAAGUUUGGCCAUGUUUGCUUUUUUGCCAGUGCUUUUUGAAAGCUUGGACAGGAGAUAUAAUAUGAUAGCAAGGCAAGUAUCGGAAAUUCGAGACAGAUACUGGUACCAGUAGCUAUAUGUGUGUUAUAUGUAGCAAUUCUAUGAAGGCCGACA